rnacentral:misc_RNA from 1 species
ACAAACUUGGUCAUUUAGAGGAAGUAAAAGUCGUAACAAGGUUUCCGUAGGUGAACCUGCGGAAGGAUCAUUAACGAGCGUAAGACCGGCCCCCCCCGCGUCGGCACUCACCAGCCCAGUGAUGAAACGACCCUGAAGCCCCUGUUUCGUCGGCGGGCUGUAGGCGCCCACCCGCCGACGUUCGGCACCCCUCACCCCCAGCGUCUCGAGGGAGACGGGAGAACGGAGGCCUGAACAUUCCAGAAGAGAAGCGAAGAAAAAACUUUCAACAACGGAUCUCUUGGUUCCAGCAUCGAUGAAGAACGCAGC